UUAAAAAAAAUAGUAAAAAAUCAAAAACAUAAAAAAAAAUCUCUGCAACAUCAAUCGACGCUGCUCAACUUCAAGGAACGGUCUAUUCUCUUUAUAGCAAGUUUCUUCAUAUCGAUUUUCAUUAUCCAACCCAAAAAUGUUAAUCUGCUCAACUUCGAGGAACGGUCUAUUCUCUUUAUAGCAAGAUUCUUCAUAUCGAUUUUCAUUAUCCAACCCAAAAAUGUUGAUCCUCACAAAAAAUUGUUAGGACAAAACACACAUAUACGAUCUAUUUUGACUUGACAGUAAAUUAUAUUUUGAUACUAACUCAUUUGAUCCUUAUUUUUCUUUUAACUAUUGACUUUAUUCUUACAAAAAGAAGCUAAGGGAAUAUCAUAUCAUCGUCGCAACCGAACUCGCUGCGCUAAUUAUUGAUCAAGAAAAUAAUACACGUUAUACACCAAUCAGUUUUCUAACUUGAUUUAUUACAACAAUGCCACGAACACGCAGGGGGGCUAAUUUGAGUCGUCAAACAGAUCUAGAGGCAUGCAAGAUAGAAGAGCAAUAAGAUCAGAUGCAGAAAGGCAACAAAGUAAUGCAGAUGUCCGUGUAAGAAUGGCGCAGUUACGUGCAUCACAAUUACAAGAGGUACGAGAUGAGCGAAUCCAACAAAGACAAUUGGAACGAAGAGAAGCGCGCAGAUUCGUAGCCAACAGACGUAGAGGGAUUGACCAAUAUCAACAAGUACUUCGAGCAUUUACAUCACAUUCAUUUCUUCGACUAGCAUUUCAGUAUGAGCCUGAUGUUGAAUAUUACGCUGGAGUUUUAUAUUUUUCUGCCGUUCAAAUUUCGUGUCUUCGCUUUUAUCCAGGUGAAUGGUUGCUGCCCUGGCUAAAUUGAGAUUUUAUGACGUGUAUCCCAACCUGAACAGCAUAGUUUUCAAUGAUUUUUUUUGACAUGUGUUUGGAAAACUUAAUUAUUUCUGUUUUUUAAAUUUUUACUCUCUGUAUGUUUUUAUGAUCAUUAUAAUGAAAUACUUUUAUAUUUCUAUCUA